rnacentral:rRNA from 1 species
GCAUCUUUGGUCUCUCACCCAAGCUAUGUAGAGUAUCAGACAACUCCCACUAGGAUAUCUUGAUCCCUUUCAGUGGAUCAUGAGUUACCAUAUGAGCUUUUAGGGUAGCCACAAGGGCCUUAAGCUCCUUAAUCCUUUGUUGAUCAUUAAAUCCACCACUUGUAGCCAUUUUAUCAAUUCUCUAGCACUUCUCAAUUAUGCUCUAAUACCACAUGUCAUAGGCUAAGCUUUCUCUCAAUGAAACAAUAGACUAUGUGGCACUUGGAUGGAUACUUCCACACAAGUCAGCCAAGGAUAGUUUGAUAUAUGAAUAGGCAACCAACAAGCCACAAGUUAAUCUCAAGAUUACACAACAAUAUAUCGGUGUAUAAUGGGAGCACACCAAGGUAACCCUCAGUGUUCUCAUAAGAAAAAAAUGUUUUAUUAAUAUCAAAAAUAGUACAAUAAGUACAAAAAGAGCAUUGAGUCUUCCCAUUAUCAUCGAGUUUAGAGGGGUAGCCCUAAAUGGGUGGUCUAGCACAUACCUUAGCUAGUGAGAUAGCCUAACAAUACAUUGAUUGCUUACCCCUCUAAAGAGCUAAAGAGAUUUUACACCUAUGCUACCAUGAACAUUACAAAGUUUGAAAUAGGGACACUUUUUCCUAGCCUAUGAGAUUUACCCUCCACCUUGGCACCUCUACCCAAUCAUAGCCUUAUACAUGGGUGGCUCAUGACAUCCUAUGCUUGGUCAUGGCCUUAUACAACGUUGGCUCAUGAUAGCGUGGUUGCUUCAUUUAGCCAUGUCAUAGAAUCAAGAGCUCUGAGUAGGCCAUUUUUGGUAAGCAGAAUUGGUGAUACAAGUGAACUGGAAGCCAAGUUAUGGUGCCCAAUUGUGCUCUAACCUAGAACCCAUAAGGGAUGUUGGUCGAUUAAGACAGUAGGAUGGUGGUCAUGAAAGUGAAAAUCCACUAAGGAAUGUGAAACAAGUCACCUGUUGAUUCAACUAACCCAAAAAAUGGAUGGUGCUUAAGCACGCGACUUAUACCCAGCUGUUGGGGCAAAGGCCAAGCCUCGAUGAGUAGGAGGACAUAGCGGUUGCCAUAAAACCCAGGGUGUGAACCUAGGUGGAGCAACCAUUGGUGCAGAUCUUGGUGGUAGUAGCCAAUAUUCAAAUGAGAACUUUGAAGGCCGAAGAGGAGAAAGGUUCCAUAUGAAUGGCACUUGCACAUGGGUUAGUCGAUCCUAAGAGAAAAGGAAAGCUCAUUUAAUAGCAUGUCUAGCAUGAGUUUCAAAAGGGAUUUAGGUUAAAAUUCCUUAAUCAGGAUGCAGCAGCUAAUGACAACAUUAGGGAGUUUUGAGAGGUCGAUGGGGGCUUUAGGAAUUGUUAUCUUUUUUGUUUAAUGGCUUGCCUACCUUGGAAAUGGCUUAGUUGGACGUAGGGUCCAACAACCAAAGGAGCACCACACAUCUUAUGGUGUCAAGUGUGCCCUUGGUGGCCCUUGAACACCUAGAGGACCAAGUGCCAUCCAUGCCUAGUCGUACUUAUAAUUGCAUCAGGUCUCUAAGGUGAAUAGCUUCUAGUCGAUGGAACAAUAUAGGCAAGGGAAGUCACAAAAUCGAUCCAUAACCUUGGGAAAAGGAUUGGCUCUAAGGGUUGGGCACUGGGGUCCCAAUCUCAAACCCGUCAGUAUCGAUGCAUUGCUCAAUCUACUCCCAUGGUGAGAGCAGAUUGCCAUGUGCUAGUCAAAGGGACUAGCAAUUGCUCCCUUAGGGGCCUUCCCUAGGUGAGAGCAAUCAAAUUAGAAUUGGUAUAGACAAAGGGAAUCCAACUAUUUAAUUAAAACAAAUCAAUGCAAUGGUUUCUGCAUAUGCUCACACAUAAUGUGAUUUCUACCCAGUGCUCUAAAUGUCAAAGUGAAGAAAUUCAAACAAGCAUAGGUAAAUGACAAGAGCAACUAUGACCCUUUUAAUGUAGCCAAAUGCCUCAUCAUCUGAUUAGUGUUUCACAUGAAUGGAUUAAUGAGAUUCCCACUAUCCCUGUCUGUUAUCCAUCAAAACCAUAGCCAUGGGAAUAGGCUUGGAAGAAUAAACAGGGAAAGAAAACCUUGUUGAGCUUGACUGUAGUCUAACUUUGGGAAAUGACUUAAGAGGUGUAGGAUAAAUGGAAGGCCUUGAGUGAAAUUGAAAUACCACUACUUUUAAUGUUAUUUUACUUAUUCCAUGAAUUGGAGGUGAGGCAUGACCCCUUCUUUUGGACCCAAGGCAGGCCUUGGUCAAUCAAUCUGGGCAUAAGACAUUGUCAAGUGGGGAUUUUGGCAAGGGUAGCACAUCUGUUAAAAGAUAACACAGGUGUCCCAAAAUGAGCUCAACAAGAACAAAAAUCUCACAUGGAACAAAAGGGUAAAGGCUCGUUUGAUUUUGAUUUCUAGUAAAAAAUGAACCAUGAAAGCGUGGAUUAUAGAUCCUUUAGACCUUUAGAAUAUGAAGCUAGAGGUGUCAAAAAAGUUAUCAUAGGGACAACUAGCUUGUGGCAGCCAAGUAUUUAUAGCGAUGUUGCUUUUUGAUCCUUUGAUGUUGGCUAUUCCUAUCAUUGUGAAGCAGAAUUCACCAAGUGUUGGAUUGUUCACCCACCACUAGGGAAUGUGAGCUGGGUUCAGACUGUCAUGAGGCAAGUUAAUUUUACCCUACUAAUGGCAACAUCGCACUAGUAAUUCAACCUAGUAUGAGAGGAACCGUUGAUUUACACAAUUGGUCAUUGUGCUUGGUUGAAGAGCUAGUGGCACAAAGCUACCAUGCAUUGGAUUAUGACUGAAUGACUCUAAGUCAAAAUCUGAGCUAGAAGUGACACACGUGCCCAUCACUCAAUUGUCGACCCAUCAUAGGGGCACAUGCUAGCCCUUUGUGUGAGUAGUUACCUUGAACACCAUCAACACAUGCUGGGUUGCACACCAUGCACCCCAUGACCUGGUAGUAGGUGGGUUCAGGCACAUCUAUUAUGCCAAUGCCAUUUUUAUGGCUUCUAAAUU